GCGUGUUGAGAUAGCGUGGCCUUGUAAGCUUUGCUUGGGAAAGUACGUGUUCUGGUGUUUCUGUGGCAGUUUUACAGCAACAGUUUAUCGACACUGGCAGCUUACGAUCUGCGAUCAUGUUAUUGAAACUGAUAUCCAGUGAAGGCUUUGAAACUGUGAGAUGGCGCUCACCUGCUGUUGAAGCUUGUUAGCCGCGUGUCUCGUUGCAUCCCAUGAUGAGUUCAUAAACGGAGGAGGCCAUGAUAAAUGUUCCGAGCCACCGCCAUCGAAACAUCUGACUGACGACGAGUUGAAUGAGCAAUACUGUGAUGGCAGCGAGAUCUGGUGACAGCAAUCUGGAACUAACGCCCUUACGAAGAGGAAGGGGAGAUCUAGGCAGGCGUCCAUGGGCAUAGAAACGGCCGGCUCUGCAUUCUACAGCGACGCUUGUCGUUAAUUCUAUUACUCUCCAUUACUCCGAGUUGUCACGGCGUGCGCCGUGCUGAGGUAGGACCGGGAAUUUCCGGCGUCAGCUCUGCUCCAAGGCUGUCCAAUGCUCCGCGGUGCA